rnacentral:lncRNA from 1 species
GAAGAGAAAGUAAAUCUAGAGCUGAUUGAUUAAAUAGGAGAAUGUUUUCCUGCCAUUGUUUUUUAUGCAUGAUUUGAGUGGUGAGUUUUACCCUAGGAGAGCUAAGGCCUCUCGAAGUGCCUCCUUUAUCAUUUACAGCUUAUUUCCUUACAUUUUAGUCUUCUGUUUGUAUUGUGAGCUAGAUCCCACAUGAACUCUAGCUAUUUCCAGCAAUAAGAAUUUCUAUUCACUACUAUAUUCUACUGUUUUAUUUUAUUGAUCAAUGUUUAAUCGUAAUCGAGAUCGAGUCCUAUCAUUAUAUCAAUAGAUAAAACUUAAGUAAGUCCUAUAUUAACAUUUGUUUAUACCCCUAGUAUAUAUGAAAGAUGGAAAGAGCCCAGUGAACAUAUAAAUGUUUUAUAGAUGAAAUCAGUGAGUAUAGGAAGAAUUUGUUCCGAGUACAGGAAGUAAAAAUUUCAACAAUUCAAUUCCAAAUCACCAGUCACCAAUAUAUUGCUGGUGCAGAUGCUUUUAUACUAUUAUACUAUAUAUACCAAACACAGUAAUACAGGAUCUGAAACUGAUAGAUGUACCACUACAUUACGUGCUCAUUCUACUGAAUGUUGGCAUGCUUUGUAUACCACAGCAUGCUAUGAACAUAUAUUGAGCAGCUAGUAGGUGACGGUUAUAUAGUUUUCUGAUUCUAUUAGUGCCUUAGUGGCGGUUACCAGUAGUUACACGCACUGCAGCUAGUAUAUAAACAG